rnacentral:rRNA from 1 species
GACGAACGCUGGCGGCGUGCCUAAUACAUGCAAGUUGAGCGCUGAAGGUUGGUACUUGUACCAACUGGAUGAGCAGCGAACGGGUGAGUAACGCGUGGGUAAUCUGCCUUUGAGCGGGGGACAACAUUUGGAAACGCAUGCUAAUACCGCAUAAAAACUUUAAACACAAGUUUUAAGUUUGAAAGAUGCAAUUUCAUGACUCAAAGAUGAUCCCGCGUUGUAUUAGUUAGUUGGUGAGGUAAAGGCUCACCAAGGCGAUGAUACAUAGCCGACCUGAGAGGGUGAUCGGCCACAUUGGGACUGAGACACAGCCCAAACUCCUACGGGAGGCAGCCGUAGGGAAUCUUCGGCAAUGGACGGAAGUCUCACCGAGCAACGCCGCGUGAGUGAAGAAGGUUUUCGGAGCGUAAAACUCUGUUGGUAGAGAAGAACGUUGGUGAGAGUGGAAAGCUCAUCAAGUGACGGUAACUACCCAGAAAGGGACGGCUAACUACGUG